AUUUAAAUAAUUUAAGUAAAAUAUUGAUUUGUGGUAUCAAAAAUGUGAUUUGUGAUAUCAUUUUAAGUU
rnacentral:tRNA from 1 species